ACGGGUGAGUAACGCGUAAAGAACUUGCCUCACAGAUAGGGACAACAUUUGGAAACGAAUGCUAAUACCUGAUAUUAUGAUUUUAGGGCAUCCCAGAAUUAUGAAAGCUAUAUGCGCUGUGAGAGAGCUUUGCGUCCCAUUAGCUAGUUGGAGAGGUAACGGCUCACCAAGGCGAUGAUGGGUAGCCGGCCUGAGAGGGUGAUCGGCCACAAGGGGACUGAGACACGGCCCUUACUCCUACGGGAGGCAGCAGUGGGGAAUAUUGGACAAUGGACCAAGAGUCUGAUCCAGCAAUUCUGUGUGCACGAUGAAGUUUUUCGGAAUGUAAAGUGCUUUCAGUUGGGAAGAAAAAAAUGACGGUACCAACAGAAGAAGUGACGGCUAAAUACGUGCCAGCAGCCGCGGUAAUACGUAUGUCGCGAGCGUUAUCCGGAAUUAUUGGGCAUAAAGGGCAUCUAGGCGGCCGGGUAAGUCCGGGGUGAAAACUGCUGGCUCAACCAGCAGCCUGCCUUGGAUACUACCCGGCUGGAGUGCUGGAGAGGUGGACGGAACUGCACGAGUAGAGGUGAAAUUCGUAGAUAUGUGCAGGAAUGCCGAUGAUGAAGAUAGUUCACUGGACGGCAACUGACGUUGAAGUGCGAAAGCUAGGGGAGCGAACAGGAUUAGAUACCCU
rnacentral:rRNA from 1 species